rnacentral:rRNA from 1 species
GAUGAACGCUGGCGGCGUGCCUAAUACAUGCAAGUCGAGCGAACAGACGAGGAGCUUGCUCCUCUGACGUUAGCGGCGGACGGGUGAGUAACACGUGGAUAACCUACCUAUAAGACUGGGAUAACUUCGGGAAACCGGAGCUAAUACCGGAUAAUAUAUUGAACCGCAUGGUUCAAUAGUGAAAGACGGUUUUGCUGUCACUUAUAGAUGGAUCCGCGCCGCAUUAGCUAGUUGGUAAGGUAACGGCUUACCAAGGCAACGAUGCGUAGCCGACCUGAGAGGGGAACGGCCCAAACGGAACUUGAAACCCGGCCAAGCUCCUUAGGGGAGCAGCAGUAGGGAAUCUUCCGCAAUGGGCGAAAGCCUGACGGAGCAACGCCGCGUGAGUGAUGAAGGUCUUCGGAUCGUAAAACUCUGUUAUUAGGGAAGAACAAAUGUGUAAGUAACUAUGCACGUCUUGACGGUACCUAAUCAGAAAGCCACGGCUAACUACGUG